GAUGAACGCUGGCGGCAUGCCUAAUACAUGCAAGUCGAACGAAGCACUUGUGCUUAGUGGCGAACGGGUGAGUAAUACGUAAGCAACCUGCCCUAAACACGGGGAUAACUACUGGAAACGGUAGCUAAUACCCGAUAGGUCAUAAAGUGGCAUCACUUAAUGAUUAAAGGUCCCUUCAAGGACCAGUUUGGGAUGGGCUUAUGGCGCAUUAGCUAGUUGGUGAGGUAACGGCUCACCAAGGCGAUGAUGCGUAGCCGACCUGAGAGGGUGAUCGGCCACAUUGGGACUGGGACACGGCCCAAACUCCUACGGGAGGCAGCAGUAGGGAAUUUUCGGCAAUGGGGGGAACCCUGACCGAGCAACGCCGCGUGAAGGAAGAAGGUAUUCGUAUCGUAAACUUCUGUCAUAGAGGAAGAACGACUAGGGUAGGGAAUGACCCUGGAGUGACGGUACUCUAAGAGGAAGCCACGGCUAACUACGUGCCAGCAGCCGCAGUAAUAC
rnacentral:rRNA from 1 species